CCGGCCUUCAUCUUUCUCCUGUGCUGAAGGCUUCCUGCCCUCGAACAUCAGACUCCAAGUUCCUCAGCUUUUGGACUCCUGGAUUGGGGGAAGAAGUGUUGCCAGUGUGAUGCUCUCAGGAACUGCAAGAGAACAGCAAGCAAACAGAAUUCCUGUUAGCCAGUUGUGGAAUCAUGAACCCUGAGCCCACCAAGUGAAGAAUCAAUGGCUAGACUCCUGGAAGGUGAGAGAACACAUGGAGAGAAGCCAAACCAUCCCAGCAGAACCCAGACCUGUCAUACCAGCUACCAGCUGACUGCAAAUGAAUGAACUCAUUUAAUACCAACAGUAGACCCACCUACCUGAGCCUAGCCC